rfam:Solenopsis invicta Si_gnG.contig34803, whole genome shotgun sequence.
AAAACGGCUCUUUUCAGAGCCAUUUUUAAACCAACAUCAAUUAAAU